rnacentral:rRNA from 1 species
AUGGGUACAGUCUUAGCACCACAAUCCACCAAGUUUGUUCCUUACCGUUAUUACAAAAUGGUGGAGGACGUGAACGCUAUCAAGUCAUACAAUUGGAAUGAUUUCACGUUGGGGUAUAUAUACUGGGAAAAACUUGAGCCAAUUGGUGUGGAUACAUUUGAUCCUUUGUCUCGUGAAUACCCACUAAUGCUUAACUGGCCAGAAACGGAAGGGAAAAAGCGAGACGACUAUGACAACAUGCACGGGCGGGGUACCGGCAAUAUUGAAAACUGCAUUAGCGAAGAGUACAGACGUGCUAAGGUAGCACGUGAAGGGACUGUCCCAGAGGAAGAAACGAAGAAACCUAAACGGAAAGGUGGUGGCAGGAGUAGAAAGCCAAGCACGUCCACGGUUUCAUCGAACACGAAUUAUAGUAUGGACCGUGUGAUGACAUACAUAAAGCUGCUUCACAAGGAGAUGGUAAUGGAAAGGUUGAACACGGAAGGUGUGCUGUACAAACCCAAUAAGAGGGACAACGUUGACGAAUUUGAUAAUGUAGGUGAAGGAGUUGGGAUGGAGAAUGGCAAGUACAAGUCAUCAAAAUAUUUGCUAGAUAUUGAAUCACCUACGGACAUAAAGAUAGGAACAUCUUUCACGGGUGAAGCUACUGAUCCUUUCAUUAUAGACGAUAAUGGAAACUCUCCAUCUUCGGCAUCAACUGUACGGACAAAAGACUUUCCGUCUAUGUCCCGAACCCUGCAGAAUGUUGAUAUUUCUGGUGAGUCUAUGGGUGGUUUGUCACCAACAAAGUCCGAAGACACGUUUGAGAGUUUCCCGGCAAAGAGCAACAUAGGUAAUGGUGAAGGCAGUCAGGACAAUGAAGGUAAACGCAAACGAAAUCCGUCCAAAUAUUGUCAAUCCCCCUACGACCUUCUCAUUACUCGCAAGAAACGUGUUAAAAAAAUCAUCAAUGCAUAUUGUAAACACCUACAACACCGUGAUUUUUCUGAUUGUUACAUAUGA